rnacentral:rRNA from 1 species
ACGGGAGGCAGCAGUGGGGAAUCUUCCGCAAUGGGCGAAAGCCUGACGGAGCAACGCCGCGUGAGUGAAGAAGGCCUUCGGGUCGUAAAGCUCUGUCUUUAGGGACGAAAAACUGUUACGUGAAUAAUGUAGCAGCCUGACGGUACCUGAGGAGGAAGCUCCGGCUAACUACGUGCCAGCAGCCGCGGUAAUACGUAGGGAGCGAGCGUUGUCCGGAAUUACUGGGCGUAAAGGGCGUGUAGGCGGGGAUUUAAGUAGGGAGUGAAAACUGCGGGCUUAACCCGGAGACUGCUUCCUAAACUGGAUCUCUUGAGGGCAGGAGAGGAAAGUGGAAUUCCUAGUGUAGCGGUGAAAUGCGUAGAUAUUAGGAGGAACACCAGUGGCGAAGGCGACUUUCUGGACUGUACCUGACGCUGAGGCGCGAAAGCGUGGGGAGCGAACAGGAUUAGAUACCCUGGUA